AAGGCUUUGUUUGUAACCGUAGGCGCAGAGAGAGAGAGAGAGAGAGAGAGCGAAGAGCUCUGAGAGUGAGACGAAGCAGCAAAAAAAUAGAGGUUAACCAGAAAAUCAACCCUCAAUUCUCCCACCGAUUCCUCCCAUUUUACAGACAUUUACGUUUUCUUCUGUUUUCCUCGUUUGUUUACCUAUCGAAGUUGAUUUAAAUGAGUCGUUUAGGGUUUAAAUCGGUGGUAUAUCACGGCGACUUGUGCUUGGGAGAGCUGGACGCUAUUCCGGUCAAGGACCAGAAUUUCCAGUUCCCGAAUCACGAGAUUCGUAUCCACCACAUAUCGCCACAGAGUGAACGAUGCCCUCCGCUCUCAAUUCUCCAAACGAUUUCUUCGUUUUCCGUUCGGUGCAAGCUCGAGUCGUCCUCGCCGGUCGAACAGUCCCAUCUGAUCACUCUCCACGCCUCCUGCUUCUACGAAUUCAAGACGGCGGUGGUAUUGAUUGGAGACGAAGAGAUUCACUUGGUUGCAAUGCCAAGUAAGCAGAAGAAGUUUCCGUGCUUUUGGUGCUAUGCGGUUCCUGCAGGUCUGUACGACGCAAGCUUAGGAAUGCUAAAUUUACGUUGUCUGGCAAUCGUAUUUGAUCUCGACGAGACGCUCAUUGUUGCGAACACCAUGAAGUCAUUCGAGGAUAGAAUUGAGGCCAUUCGAAGUUGGAUUGUACGCGAGAAUGAUUCGUUGCGUGCGUCAGUAAUGACUGCCGAAAUGAAGCGGUACAUAGAUGAUCGAGCGCUAUUGAAGCAGUACACAGAGAAUGACACCGUGGUCGAUAAUAAUGGGAAGCCAUUUAAUGCUCAAUUGGAGGAGGUUCCACCACUAUCUGAUAACCAUGAAAGAGUUGUUCGGCCAGUAAUUAGAUUGCAAGAAAAGAAUAUUGUCCUCACUCGUAUCAAUCCUGAUAAUCGUGAUACCAGUGUGCUUGUGAGGUUACGACCUGCGUGGGAGGAUCUGAGAAGUUAUUUAACUGCAAAAGGAAGGAAACGGUUUGAAGUUUAUGUAUGUACAAUGGCAGAAAGAGAUUAUGCCCUGGAAAUGUGGAGGCUUCUUGACCCGGAGGCACAUCUUAUAGAUUCAAAGCAACUUUUGGACCGUGUUAUCUGUGUCAAAUCAGGCUCCAGGAAAUCUUUGCUAAAUGUCUUCCAAGAUGCCAUGUGCCAUCCAAAGAUGGCAAUGGUAAUUGAUGACCGUUCGAAGGUUUGGGAAGAUAAGGACCAACCACGAGUUCAUAUGGUUCCAGCAUUCACUCCUUAUUAUGCUCCUCAAGCAGAGACCGCCCAUGCUGUUCCAGUCCUCUGUGUAGCAAGAAACGUUGCAUGCAAUGUCAGAGGUUACUUUUUCAAAGAAUUUGAUGAGAAUUUAUUACGGAGAAUCUCUGAGAUCUUUUAUGAGGAUGAGGUGGUAAAUUUACCUCCUGCUCCUGAUGUUAGCAACUACAUGAUAUCAGAGGAUGCUGGAUUUGUACCAAAUGGCAAUACUAAUGCUCCCAUAAGUGAAGGAAUGAACGGUCUUGAAGUUGAACGGAGAUUAAACCCAACGGACGAGAAAUGUGCUAAUGAUUCAGCUACUCAUUCAUUGACAAAUAGUUCUGAGUAUAGACAUGAGGCCUCUAAGCCACCUGUUGCAAUCUUGCCGAAUGCCAUUGGCCCUGCAUCUUCAAGAACACUGAUGCCUUCUCAGAAACCUGGGUUGCUUGGAGCUCCAGUUAGACGAGAUUGCAUCUCCUCUGAUCGUGAUUAUGAUAUGAAGAGAGGACUCCUCACUAUGAAGCAUGGUCUAGAUUCGAGGAUUCAAAGCUCAGGUGAACCCCCCCUUUUGUCAAGAUUGCCUACACAAUCUGGAUCAUUGAUGCAGCCACAGGGUGGCUGGUUGAUGGAAGAUGAUAUUAGUCGAGGGCAUUUAAAUAGUCGACCUUCGGGAUUUGUUCCUGAAGCUGAUGCGCUAAAACCUGAUAAGCAGUCUGCACAUUUAAUGCCAUUUUCACCUAGCACACCAGGAUCUACUCCUACUGCUUUACCUUCACAAACAUCCCAAGGGAAGGUUGAAGAGGCAUGUGCUAGUUAUGAUACGCUAAAACAAAAUCUUCCACCUGCAAGUCUGCCAUCAGAGGUUGCUGGAUCUCAAAAUCAGGUGUCUACUAGCAGAGAUAUUCAAACUGAAGCUGGAAAAUCAAACAUGCUACCUUCUCCUUUAUCUAUUGGAGUACUGCAAGAGAUUGGACGAAGAUGCAACUCCAAGGUCGAGUUCAGGUCUGUUGUCAGCACCAGUAAGGAUUUGCAAUUUUCUGUUGAGGUUUUGUUCACUGGCGAGAAGAUAGGGGUUGGAAUGGGCAAGACAAGGAAAGAUGCUCAACAACAAGCUGCCGAAAAUGCCCUUCACAGCUUAGCAGAAAAAUAUGUAGCAUACAUUGCACCUCGUACUGGGGCCGUGGACACAGAUUUUGACAAGCUUUCUCUUGGGAAUGAAAAUGGAUUUCUAUGGGAUAUCUUCAGUCCUGGAGCGGAUGAACCCCUAAGAGAAGAUGGGUUGCCUAAAGAAAGCACUUCUGAGGUGGGAAUUUCUGAUGAUGCCCUUCCAUAUUUGAUUUGAUUACAUAGGUGAUGCUUGGAUAAAGGGUAUGUAGGCAAGAAUUUUCCAGAUGAGGGGUAUUGGUUACAUGGAGAGAAACCGCUCCUUUUUUGGAUUUUGCAUUGCACCCAGAUGUGAGAGCUAAAAUCACUGAAAGGGAAGUGAGCUGGCUUAAUGUCUGCUAUUGCUGCCUUACCCAGGCUCCAAUAUAUCUAAAUAAAGAGGCCAGUGAAAGUGAACCUGGGUGUCCUUCUAAUGUAUUAAAUCAGCAAGUGCAAAAGCGUGCCAAUUCCCCAAGGUUGCCGACUUCUAUUUCUAGUAAACGAUCAAAGGACGAGGUAUUUCGUGGUCCACAAAGCCUACCAUCCUUUCGACAACAGAAGAAUGGGCAUCCUAUAUCAUGAGAAACCAUAAGACGGGGGGCAUAUUUUGGACAAAAGGUUAUUGAGCUCUAAAGGUAUGUAUGCAUUUUAUAUAGUUCAAGCAUCUCUUUUGCCCGUGCGUUAGCUGAUGCCGAGGUGAAAAAUUCUUGAAAUUAAAUGUGCUUGCAAAGGUGGGCUCCAUUUUUUUUUUUUUUUUGCGUGACGCCCUACAUUUUCAUGUUUAUUUAGUGGAUAUUAAAUCAAUGGAGAAUUAUUUUUAUAUAGGCUUCCCAAGUAACAUCGCAAUUGAAAUUAUUUUGUUGCCCCAAUGUUCCGUUGAUGGCUGAUCUGUCUGGAUUUCCUUUCUUUGGGGUAUUAGAAAUGCAAGUGUUACAAUAUAUAAUUGAAGUGUUAUCUUAAA